rnacentral:misc_RNA from 1 species
CUUCAAUCUUACACCGUUGCUAAAGAUAGUCCCCCCGGGCCCAAGGGGUUGCCCUUUUUUGGCAUAAUCUUUGAAGUCAAUAUCACAAAACUGCAUGAUAAGCUGUAUGAAUGGACACAACAGUAUGGUGACGUUUUCCAGUUUCAAAUGCUCGGCAAGAAAUUUCUCUGUAUCAGUUCAGUGGAUGUUCUGCGUGAGACUUUUUUGCAAGAACCAUGUGCUACAGUUAGCGCAAAUCGCUCUCCCACGUUUACUGGAAAAUACUUAUUAAAAGAUUAUUCAGAUGUUGCCUUCGCAUCACCUAGCUCGCUUUGGGAAAAACGAAGAAAAUUUGUUCAUCGUCUUCUUCACACAUACGGAGAGGGAAAAGCGUCACUUGAAAAUCAAAUAGUGCAAAAUCUGAUUCCUUUCAAAGAAAAAAUACGUCAAACCAGUGCAAAAGACGUAAAUCCAUUUGAAAUCGUGGAUGAAUUUAUACUGAGUUCUAUCGAAAUGCUGAUCAUCGGUCGAAGCUUUGGUAAAGAAGGUCCAAUGCAGCCUUUACUGAAAUUAGAACUGGAUUUAGUAAAUCGCAUCUCAAAUCCAGGAACAGAUGGAGUAUUAAGUGUUUUCCCCUUCCUUCGCUUUCUACCACUUACCCUAUCAUCCAUCUAUCAUGAUGCCAAAAGCGUACAUCAAAAACUUUUAGACAUUUUAGAGAUGUUAUCGGAAAACGACUGUGAAAAGACAGGGAUAUAUCAUUAUAUGAAAGAAACGCUGAAUGAAAAAGAUGAAAAUGGGAACAUAUGGUUCAAUGAUAAAAACAUAUAUGCAGUACUUUUUAACAUUACCGCAGGAGCAUACCUAACAACGAGGGGGACUUUACUGUCUGCAAUCCAUAUCCUUGCAAAAAGACCGGAACUACAAAGGUCUUUACAGAAAGAAGUAGAUAAGGUAAUUGGACGGAACGAGAAUCCAAGACUCUCAGACAGAAAGAAGUGUCCACUGCUGGAAGCCGUUGUCAUGGAAACACUUCGUUACAUCUCCCAUGUUCCGGUUCUUAUACUUCAUGCCACUUCACAAUCCACAACCAUCGGAGGUUACACUGUAACGAAGGACACAGUGAUCAUUCCUAACGUCUGGACCAUGCAUCACAGUGAUAAAUACUGGGACGAACCGUUCAGCUUCAAGCCUGAACGUUUCUUGGACGAAGAUGGUCAGCUCUUGCCCGCCACACACCCAGUCAGGAAAAGAUUUGCAGCAUUUGGAUUAGGAAAAAGAAGUUGCAUAGGCGAAGUCUUUGCAAAGUCUCGGAUCUUUUUGUUCUUGUCCUCGCUGAUGCAAAUGGCUACUAUCAGCGAACCAGCAGAAAAUGAUUUACUUGACUUUGACCCCAGAAAAAUGGCUCCAGGAAUAGUUUUACAGCCACAAGAAUACAAAGUUCGAUUUUUAUUGCGAUGAAUCUCGCAACUCUUGUGAAUUAACGAAUAAAAAGUAAUAGUAUUGUAAUCAUUUAUGAUGAAAAAGACUUCUGUAAAUGUGGAAAAUAAAUGAUACAUUUAAACAAAGAAUUACAUAUUGCAAAUGUAGUUAAAUUGAUGUAGUUAAAUUGAACUUUAAAUUAACCAU